rnacentral:rRNA from 1 species
AUUGAACGCUGGCGGCAUGCCUAACACAUGCAAGUCGAACGGCAGCACGGCAGUAGCAAUACUGUGGGUGGCGAGUGGCGGACGGGUGAGGAAUACGUCGGAAUCUGCCCAGUCGUGGGGGAUAACUAGCCGAAAGGUUAGCUAAUACCGCAUACGACCGAGAGGUGAAAGCGGGGGACCGCAAGGCCUCGCGCGAUUGGAUGAGCCGACGUCGGAUUAGCUAGUUGGUGGGGUAAAGGCCCACCAAGGCGACGAUCCGUAGCUGGUCUGAGAGGAUGAUCAGCCACACUGGAACUGAGACACGGUCCAGACUCCUACGGGAGGCAGCAGUGGGGAAUAUUGGACAAUGGGCGCAAGCCUGAUCCAGCAAUGCCGCGUGUGUGAAGAAGGCCUCGGUUGUAAGCACUUUAUCAGAACGAAAGACGUUGAGUUAAUACCCUGACGUGCUGACGGUACCU